rnacentral:rRNA from 1 species
CGCGUAGGCGGUUUACUAAGUCGGAUGUGAAAGCCCCGGGCUUAACCUGGGAAUUGCAUUCGAUACUGGUAGGCUAGAGUAUGGUAGAGGGAAGUGGAAUUCCAGGUGUAGCGGUGAAAUGCGUAGAUAUCUGGAGGAACAUCAGUGGCGAAGGCGACUUCCUGGACCAAUACUGACGCUGAGGUGCGAAAGCGUGGGGAGCGAACA